rnacentral:lncRNA from 1 species
CUCACGCCCACUCAAUUCCAACCCUAGAAUUUCCCCCUCCUUUCCUUCUCCAUCAUCUAUCCUGCGGAAAACGCCGCACACGUCGAACUGUGAACGUUGCUGUGAUCCAGCAGCAGACUGUGAUGAAACUAAUUCAUCAUCAUUAGCUGCUUCUGCCACUCUCCUUCUAGUUCUUCCUGUCUCAAGAAUCCACAUCCCCAUUUUUAGUUGUAAUAGAU